rnacentral:rRNA from 1 species
CCUACGGGGGGCAGCAGUGAGGAAUAUUGGUCAAUGGCCGGAAGGCUGAACCAGCCAAGCCGCGGGAGGGAGGAAGGCGCAGAGCGUCGCAGACCUCUUUUGCCGGGGGACAAAAGGCCGGACGCGUCCGGUCCUGAGGGUACCCGGAGAAAAAGCAUCGGCUAACUCCGUGCCAGCAGCCGCGGUAAUACGGAGGAUGCGAGCGUUAUCCGGAUUGAUUGGGUUGAAAGGGUGCGCAGGCGGGCCUUUAAGCCGGCGGUGCAAUCGCGGGGCUCCACCCCGCCGAGCCGUCGGAACUGGGGGCCUUGCGUGCGGCUGCGGCCUGCGGCCUGCGCGGUGUAGCGGU